AUUGAACGCUGGCGGCAGGCCUAACACAUGCAAGUCGAACGGUAACAGGAAGCAGCUUGCUGCUUCGCUGACGAGUGGCGGACGGGUGAGUAAUGUCUGGGAAGCUGCCUGAUGGAGGGGGAUAACUACUGGAAACGGUAGCUAAUACCGCAUAAUGUCGCAAGACCAAAGAGGGGGACCUUCGGGCCUCUUGCCAUCGGAUGUGCCCAGAUGGGAUUAGCUUGUUGGUGGGGUAACGGCUCACCAAGGCGACGAUCCCUAGCUGGUCUGAGAGGAUGACCAGCCACACUGGAACUGAGACACGGUCCAGACUCCUACGGGAGGCAGCAGUGGGGAAUAUUGCACAAUGGGCGCAAGCCUGAUGCAGCCAUGCCGCGUGUAUGAAGAAGGCCUUCGGGCUGUAAAGUACUUUCAGCGGGGAGGAAGGGAGUAAAGUUAAUACCUUUGCUCAUUGACGUUACCCGCAGAAGAAGCACCGGCUAACUCCGUGCCAGCAGCCGCGGUAAUACGGAGGGCGCAAGCGUUAAUCGGAAUUACUGGGCGUAAAGCGCACGCAGGCGGUUUGUUAAGUCAGAUGUGAAAUCCCCGGGCUCAACCUGGGAACUGCAUCUGAUACUGGCAAGCUUGAGUCUCGUAGAGGGGGGUAGAAUUCCAGGUGUAGCGGUGAAAUGCGUAGAGAUCUGGAGGAAUACCGGUGGCGAAGGCGGCCCCCUGGACGAAGACUGACGCUCAGGUGCGAAAGCGUGGGGAGCAAACAGGAUUAGAUACCCUGGUAGUCCACGCCGUAAACGAUGUCGACUUGGAGGUUGUGCCCUUGAGGCGUGGCUUCCGGAGCUAACGCGUUAAGUCGACCGCCUGGGGAGUACGGCCGCAAGGUUAAAACUCAAAUGAAUUGACGGGGGCCCGCACAAGCGGUGGAGCAUGUGGUUUAAUUCGAUGCAACGCGAAGAACCUUACCUGGUCUUGACAUCCACGGAAGUUUUCAGAGAUGAGAAUGUGCCUUCGGGAACCGUGAGACAGGUGCUGCAUGGCUGUCGUCAGCUCGUGUUGUGAAAUGUUGGGUUAAGUCCCGCAACGAGCGCAACCCUUAUCCUUUGUUGCCAGCGGUCCGGCCGGGAACUCAAAGGAGACUGCCAGUGAUAAACUGGAGGAAGGUGGGGAUGACGUCAAGUCAUCAUGGCCCUUACGACCAGGGCUACACACGUGCUACAAUGGCGCAUACAAAGAGAAGCGACCUCGCGAGAGCAAGCGGACCUCAUAAAGUGCGUCGUAGUCCGGAUUGGAGUCUGCAACUCGACUCCAUGAAGUCGGAAUCGCUAGUAAUCGUGGAUCAGAAUGCCACGGUGAAUACGUUCCCGGGCCU
rnacentral:rRNA from 1 species